rnacentral:rRNA from 1 species
AUUGAACGCUGGCGGCAGGCCUAACACAUGCAAGUCGAGCGGAUGAAGGGAGCUUGCUCCUGGAUUCAGCGGCGGACGGGUGAGUAAUGCCUAGGAAUCUGCCUGGUAGUGGGGGAUAACGUCUGGAAACGGGCGCUAAUACCGCAUACGUCCUGAGGGUGAAAGUGGGGGAUCUUCGGACCUCACGCUAUCAGAUGAGCCUAGGUCGGAUUAGCUAGUUGGUGGGGUAAAGGCCUACCAAGGCGACGAUCCGUAACUGGUCUGAGAGGAUGAUCAGUCACACUGGAACUGAGACACGGUCCAGACUCCUACGGGAGGCAGCAGUGGGGAAUAUUAGACAAUGGGCGAAAACCUGAUCCAGCCAUGCCGCGUGUGUGAAGAAGGUCUUCGGAUUGUAAAGCACUUUAAGUUGGGAGGAAGGGCAGUAAGUUAAUACCUUGCUGUUUUGACGUUACCAACAGAAUAAGCACCGGCUAACUUCGUG